rnacentral:lncRNA from 10 species
AAAAUACUUCUUCCAAAUAUGAAGUUGUGAGAUAACAAAAACCACAAAUUCUAGACUUGCGGAGGGUGUGUGCAUCUUUUACUCUCCCACACACAAACCCACAUCAAAGAGUCUGGGUGGCGCUGGGCCGGAACUCGUGGCCGCGCUCGCCUUGGUGCGCCUGGGCCACAGGAGGAGGCUGCUGGGGCCGCUCUGCCGCCGCACCUCCCUGAAGGAGAUCCGGGGGCAGUGGGGAUGCUAAGGAUGCAGCGCCGGAGAGGCAGGUGGCGGCCCCUGCGAAGAGGUGGUCCCCGCAAAGCACACGGAGACCACGAGGUUCCUUGUCGCCCACUCACAGCAAUGCUGCACGAGAUGGAGUCUUGCUCUGUUGUCAGGCUGGAGUGCAGCGGCCACUGUUACCUCCGCCUCCCGGGUUCACGCGAUUCUCCUGCCUCAGCCUCCCAAGUAGCUGGGACUACAGGCCCAGCUCCAUGAUGAUGCCUCUCUCCAGAGACCUCCUGACCUCCUGACCUGCACAGCCCGGGAGACCACAGCCCACAGCCGCUGCCCCAGGUGUCCACAAGCAUCUCAGCCCCUCCACAGCCCACGCAUCUCCUCUUUCAUUGGCUCAUGGGGAGUGAAGGACAAUGUCUGAAUUAAAUGCCGUGCUUUAAACUGAAAGGGAAACUUAGCAAAUAAAUGAGAGUAACAACACUAGAUCAUUGGCCAGUGUGGUUGCAAUUCUUCCUUUCCCUCCAGAUUUCUGUUUAACCUUUAAAUCUCAUUUCGGCAUGCCUCUUGGUCCUCCUUGGAUUGAUAUUAAGUUGUACACAGGCUACUUCUUGUAAGACGAUGAGAACUCUUGCCGAUAUUUUACAACGUCUUACUCUGAACUUUCCCCUAUUCUUUCUGCCUAGAUGCAUUAUUUUCAGGAAAUCUAUGUUGUAAGACAGAGGUAGGCAAACCAGGGUUGCGGGCCAAGUCCUUCCCACAGCCUGUUUUUGUAAAUAAAGUUUUAUUGGAAUGCAGCCAAGCUUGUUCAUUUACACAUCAUCUAUGGCUGCUUCUGUCCUGCCAUAGCACUGUUGAGUAGUUGCGACAGAGACCACGUGACCUGCAAAGCCCAAAAUAUUUACUAUCUGACCCAUUACAGAAAACGUUGCCAAUAUCCUGUCGUAAGAUAUGCUGAAAUGUUUAAUUCUUUGAGGACUGGGGCACAAAAUUAUGUAUUUUUUUAAUCCACCAUGCUAAAAGAAGGAAAAUUCAUUUACUGUAAUAUGUCCUG